UCCCUGGUAGCCUAGUGAUAAGGACUCAGCAUUGUCACUGCUGUGGCUCAGGUUCCAUCCCUGGCCUGGGAA
rnacentral:tRNA from 1 species